UACGUAGGGGGCAAGCGUUGUCCGGAUUCAUUGGGCGUAAAGAGCGUGUAGGCGGCCAGGUAGGUCUGCUGUGAAAACUCGAGGCUUAACCUCGAGCUGUCGGCGGAAACCAUCUGGCUAGAGUCCGGAAGAGGAGAAUGGAAUUCCCGGUGUAGCGGUGAAAUGCGCAGAUAUCGGGAAGAACACCCGUGGCGAAGGCGGUUCUCUGGGACGGGACUGACGCUGAGACGCGAAAGCGUGGGGAGCGAACAGG
rnacentral:rRNA from 1 species